CUCCUGCCCCCUCACACUCGCGCCCGUCCCCAAUCAGUUGCCCCCGUUUCUCCCCAAUCCCUGCCCCCCGUCUCUCCCCAAUCCCCUCCAGAUUCCCCUCGCCCCCUUCUCCUCAGUUGCUCUUCUCCAUGGCAGGAGAGGCAGAGGGCCAACCAUGGUGCCAUGCCAUGGAUGAGGAGGCGGAGCUCGAUGUGGAGGAGUACCCGGGAUGCCCAGCCGCGCCCCAGGGAGGAUUUCCUCACCAUCUGCGCAGCAUCCCCAGGUGUAGCAGUCAUUUUUACCUUGGCUUCCCAUCUCCUUCCUAAAACAUCUUCUUAUUUGCUCCAUUAUUGUCAGGUUGCAGGUGUGCAGGGAAGGUGUUUGUGUAAAUGCCUAAGGGCAAAAACUGCUAUGGGAAGAUGGUGAUUUAUGUGCAUCUGGACAAAUUUUCCAUGUAUAUCCCAUGUUGUCUAGCAGUGGAAGUAAUAAGAAGUACCAAUAUUGUGAUGGAUCUAGAGGGGAAUUCCUUUUGCACAUGAGGUAUUUCAUAUGAUGCUUGAAUUAAUGCUUCCUUUGUGCUCCCUGAUGAUAUAGGAUGAAAUAGUUUUCUUGCCCUGUUUUACUAUGGUAAUUGUGGAUCCUAUUAAGAUGCACGGCUUACCUGGUUUCAGCCCUAAAAUGUCCUUUACCUAAGUUAUGUGUUCUUAUUUUUAGGUGGAUCAGAUUGUACUUAACCAUGUACAACCCAAAACAGCAGAAUUUUAUGAUACAUAAGUCUGUAUUUUAACUAGGUGGGUAAUUUCUUGCUAGGAUGUAUCCCCAGACCUGAUACUGGAGGUUCGUGUUUUCUUUUAGAGCUUUAGCAACAAAACAAUUUUGAAAUUUGUCGGCGGUGUUCGGACUAAAACUAAAAGAGAUCCACAUUGACUCAGUAGUUGUGUGAUAGUUUGGAGCUUUGAAGUUUCAUUUUAUAGACUGAAAAUGUUAAUACAAAAGUGUGAUCAUAGUAUCAAGAAACUGUUCGGCGUACCAAAAAUGCAUUUGUCGGAGAGCAUCCUAAAAUAUGGCGCUGUGGUAUCAGGAAUUUCAUUUUUGUGAUGAUUUUCACACAUCUUGCAGAUUCAGAGAUCCACAUAUGCAUUGUAGUGGCUGGAGCUACAAUUAAAAUAUUCAGACAUUCCUACUGUCAUGAACCCCAUCCUUUCUUUUGCGUUUAAUACUGAUGCUAUGCUUUUGUGUGAAACAUGGCCUAAUGAUUCAGGGAUCUAGCUGCUCAUUAGUGAACUUUGCCGUUUCUUGUGUGUUUGUAUAGGUAUGCUAUAAAUUACAGUCCACUACCUUCAGGUUUUAUAUGGAUUUUAAGUUUGCUUUGUUGACUUGCUUGCUGCCAAUUAGAAGAAAUCUAUGGGUUUCAUGAAAAGUAUAAUUUGCCGGUGUCCAAGGAUGGACAUUUCCUAUCUUAUGUUGGCACCAUGUAGUUGUAUCUGCCACUGUUGUUACCCAAUCAUUUACAUGUACAUGGUCUGCUUCUCAGUUUUUGUGUUGUUUUUGUAGGUUGUGUGAUCAAAAGGUUAACUGGAUUAGGCAAGGCAUGAUUGAUUAUUGUUGCCUCCUAUUUUGAAAGGCACUAAUUCUUUGAUUAUUGUUGCAUCCUUCUAUUUUGAACCACACACUCUCUGCAGGUGGAAGGGAUUCUAUCUAAAAUGAGGAGUAUACAAAUGAAUCUGAUGUUGGGCAAACUUUAUAGGAUAUCUAGAAUAACUUUGCAGCUGCACAUUCUUUUUGAAUUAUAAUAUAAAACGUUUUUAGAGUUUCUAUAGGUCAAUCAUUUAGUUCUGACCAUCAUUGAUUAGUUCUAGUGGGGGUUUAAUUUUUGUAGGGAGUUUUGCAGUGCUAUCAUUUACAUUAUAUACUGUUUUGCAUGAGAGUAUAGAUUAGGAUAUUACUGACACGUACAGAUUUUCAAAUAUUGCUUCUCAAAAUAUCAGGUCCGAGACAUGUAUGCUAUUUAAGCAGUGUUUUUCCUACCUUGGAAACUUGUGGUUGUAGUUGCUCCUCACCUAUGGCAUGUUUUGUUAUUUUGUAUUUUGUUCUCGAAAAACUAGGAGAGGGCAUAUAAAUAAAAGGUGCUCAUAUCUUGCUAGCAAGUGCCUAUUAUGAUCCAUGUGAUGAUUCCUUUGCGGAUGACUAGAUCGAAACCUUGGAAUGCUUUAUCUUCAGAAAAAAUAAUUGGUAAACCAUUCUGCGAGGUAUUGUUUGCCAUGUGGUGUAGUUGUAGUCUACGUUUCUCAAAUAAUUUUAGAGGAUUUUGUGAAGAUUUGCAGAAAAGUAACUCGAAACCUUCUUUGCCGCAAACUAACUCAAAACCUCAGGUUUUAAAUUUUCUCACCGUACAUAAUAAUUCUUAGAUACCUGCUACUUAUAAUGUCAAGCAUAUUUAAUUUUAAUUCAUUGUUCGACAGGCCAUGAUAUUUGCCUAAAGAUGGUAUUUCAGUUUCAUGAAAUAAUUGUUUCAUGUCAUAUAAGUAUCUAUUACUUUAUCCAGUUACUAAACAUUCCAAAUGGACUAUGAAUAUGCAGAUUGGCAUUCAAGUCCCUCCGGGAUCCCUUUGCUAAAGAAGCAUCACUACCUUGUUGGCUUUAUGCAGACCAAUCAGCUCAUUCUUGGCUUAUUCUGAAGGCAACUAUCGGUUCUUUUGCAGCUGAUGAAGCAUUUUAUUGGAUCUCAAUUUGCAUGAAAAGCUUCACUGAUUCAAUCAUGGCAGUCGUGUAUCUUCCAGAUUUGUAAUGCUAUUCUGUAGUGUAGGGAUUUCUUGAUCCCUCUGAGAUGAUUGCUAAUUGCUAAGCUACUAUCUCAAGCUAAGUAUAGUUACCUCUUGCUAAUGCCAUUAUUAGUUACUUUCUAAUUGCUUUCCAGCUCACAAGAGGAUUUUUUAAAUCUGCGAGUUGUUCCUUUUAUCUUGCAGCUUUUGAACAGAAACUACAACCUUAAUUCAACUAAUAUAUAAACAAUAUUCAGACGAGUAAGGUCAAUGCUUUGAUUUGUGCUAGCUUUAUCCACCGGAUUCAGUAGUGUAUUACUUUUGUUAGCAUUUUUUUAAAUAUAGAUGUUGACGUGGAUCUUCAGAUAUGUUUCUGCCCUUUUUGGACAAUGCUAAACGCAAUAAGUUACUAGAUGCCUAGAAGGACUACAAACUAGAUGCGGCAUGCCUUAAUGAUCAGUAUUCACAGUAACGCAAUGUUGUGACUGCAUGUUUAGUUUUCGUUGCUAAAUUGGAUUUUUUACCAUCUUCACCAUCAAGAGUGUCGUGCAUUCUCUUCUACCCUCGUUGUGCUGGUUCCGAUGCACCGGCACAACACCUUGAUUUUUUUUUGAUUAUAAUUAGUACAACUCCAAUUUUUCGUAGAUAUUUUUUAUUAAUUUCGCCUAUUCUUUUUUACUUAUGCGACCAAAUCCUCACUAUGGUUCAUUACACUCAGGUGAAAUCUGCCAUGUGGCUAUUUUUCUUGAUUGAUAUAGACGAUGUCGAGCGGUUCAGGUUUUAUGCAGUGAGGAGUUGAACACUGAAAUUUCAAUUUUGAUUCUGUGAUGACCUGAUGACCUGGUUGGACCCUAGAGAGUCAAGUUUACUCCGAUGACAAAUACAAGGGCUAAGGUAGCUUGAGGAACCUACGACACUAAUUAAUAUAACCAGAGUUGCAAAAUUAUCUUUGGUCACUGGCUGUUUGGAUUCCUGGCUGUGAGAGCUUAAUCCAACCUGUUUAUUUUUUCAAGUCCUAUUUAUCUAUGCCUACAGAAUAUUCGGCAUAAAUUCAAGCAGGUUGUUCUCAUAUCUAGGUGACACUUCUAACUUCUCAUUUGCAAAAAUAUCUUGCUCUUCAUCUGGAUGGAUGACCUUUUUAUUAUGUAAUAAUAGUGUUUAGUCUAUGGUUUCUUCACGCUUGAAAUUUUAUUAUGUACAGAGUGCACAUAUCAAUGUUAUGAACUAAUGGACAAUUAUUUUCAGAGUGAUGCCAUUUCAAUUUCUUACCAAUUAACUCGCAUAAUCAAGACACAGACCCUAAAAGAAGACGCACACCCAUAAAAGAGGAUUGUUUAUAGUAAAUCAGUAGACGAAAACAGACCGACCUGAAGGAGGUCGUGACCGCCAUGUCACCGGUCAAGAUGGCUGCAGCUGUCACCUCGAUGGCCACCGCUGGCGGAGCGUGGGAGCCCGGCCGCCGGUGCUGCAGAGAAGCCACGCCAUCUGCUUGACGGUUAAGAACUCUGCUGCUUGCAGGUCUGCCCCAGAGAUGAACGGGUGUGUUCUGCGGGGACCAACGCGGUCAUGCCGUCUUCGGCAUCCACCACGCGCAUAUUGCUGCAGUGGAACAAGCAUCAUCAUCCAACUUGAUGGAUCUUUUUUCCUCUCUGUGUUGCUGCUCCACGUGAAGUAAUACUCUGCCCAGGCAGUGAGACAGGCAUGCGUGUGUGCUUAGCGGGGCAGCGAGGGGAUCUGGUGGUCAACGGUGCCAUGGACAGAGGCUGGCGACGGCCACGACCACGGCUCUCUUCCAACCUGGCAUGGAGAUGGAGUUGUGGGAAUAGCACCAGGGAAAAUCUUGGAACAUCGAGCUCACGUACACUGUAUUCUCCUGAGCGAGAGAAAGGAGGGGAGAGGGGAGGUAGGUGGCUAGAGAAAAUGGAGAGAGAGGAAUCUUAAGAUGCUAUGUGUGUCCAAGAAUAAUACUUUCAUAUCUCAUAGUGGUGUCACACGGGUUGUAUAAGUCAUGAUUCAGCUAAAUUUAAUUGUCGUUCUCCAA